rnacentral:RNase_P_RNA from 1 species
AAGGCAGGUUGUCUUGUCGCUUGCUGCCCAGGCAGCAGGAGGAAAGUCCGGGCAACACAGAGCAGCAUACUUCCUAACGGGAAGCCAGUCCGCCCCAGGCGGGCUGCGAGAAAGGGCCACAGAAAACAACCGCCUGCAUUCCGCAUUGCGGGUCAGGUAAGGGUGAAAACGUGAGGUAAGAGCUCACGACCGCUACAGGUGACUGUAGCGGGGGGUAAACCUUAUGCGUUGAAAGGCCAAAUAUACCGGGGCUUGAGGGUAGCUCGCCCAAUCCCGGAGGGUAGGCCGUUAGAGCUGUUGCGCAAGCCACAGCCCAGACAAAUGACAGGGAGUCCGCUUCGGCGGAAUACAGAACCCGGCUUACAGACCUGCCUUUUCU